CCUCCGGAUUACCGUCGUCCAACUAGCGCUACAAAUAUCAGCCAACUCGACAAAGACACUUCUCCAGCAACAAGUAGAACCAUCGCCACUUACGUGCAGUCAUCGAUCGAGAUUUCGAGAACAAGGCUAACAAAAAGUGUGCCCCUCCUUGCAGCGAGAUUUCGAGCGCUGGUGCCGUGAAUUUCGCGGCGAUUAUUGUGAUGAUGGGGCUCGAUAACUCUAGCCUGGAAAGAGAAAGGAAAGAAGAGAAGGGACCCCAAGCAGAAACCAUGACGAGCCAGGAGGCGGACGAGUGCCGUGAGCGGCUCUUCAAGGCCCUUAUGGCUUGCACGAACAGCGGUGACAUGGAAAGCUUCAACUGCCAAGUCUACUUCGAAUUGCUUAACAAGUGUCGGGAUGCUAAAUAAGGAUAUGUUGGCAUUUCUCCAUGUUUGACAAGGAUUUAUGGAUAAAUAGGUAGAUUAUAAGGAUAAAUAGGUAGAUUAUAAGGAACACAGGUAGUGGUUUAUCACUUAUGAUCAUUACCUGACUUGAUACUACUUUGAUACAGUGGAUAUAGGUGGACGGUAAGUGUUAGAGUGUGGUAUAUAUUCAGUUGUGAAAAGAUAGAAUAGGGACAACAUAUUACAUAUGUUCCGAACUUGUCUUGUAUUAAAAGUUGAUCUCUUCUACCACUGUG